UAACAAGGAGAAGCGAAACUGCGAAGUGGAGCAAAACUCUAAAAAAACAAUCUCAGUUCAGAUUGCAGGCUGCAACUCGCCUGCAUGAAGUCGGAAUUGCUAGUAAUCGUAGGUCAGCAUACUACGGUGAAUACGUUCCCGGGCCUUGUACACACCGCCCGUCAAACCAUGAGAGUUGGCAACACCCGAAGUCGGUAGUCUAACCGCAAGGAGGACGCCGCCGAAGGUGGGGUUGAUGAUUAGGGUUAAGUCGUAACAAGGUACC
rnacentral:rRNA from 1 species